UACGGAGGGGGCUAGCGUUGUUCGGAAUUACUGGGCGUAAAGCGCACGUAGGCGGCUUUGUAAGUUAGAGGUGAAAGCCCAGGGCUUAACCCUGGAAUUGCCUUUAAGACUGCAUCGCUAGAAUUGUGGAGAGGUAAGUGGAAUUCCGAGUGUAGAGGUGAAAUUCGUAGAUAUUCGGAAGAACACCAGUGGCGAAGGCGACUAUCUGGGGUGCAACUGACGCUGAGGCGCGAAGGCUAGG
rnacentral:rRNA from 1 species